ACAUACAUCAAGUAUCUCUGACACCGUAGCCUCACACCACUAAAGUCUCAACCAACACUUAAUGGCAGCCUUAAGACUUAUAUGGCUUGGGAUUUCAGCAAAAUACAUCCUUGUUGAAUGUCAAAGCCGAUGUGAAGAUUCAAAGAUCUACCCUGCAAAGCUCUCUGGACCAUCUAAUGUGACUGAAGGGACCACAAUACAUUUCAAGUGUCAAACUAAUGACAUCACUAUAAGCGGGGACAUGGUUCAUUUUUACCUUUGCAAGGAUGGAGUUGGGAUGCAAAUGGCACCAAUGAAGAAAGGUGCUGAAUCUGUUUUCUUGUUGAAAGAAGUUAGAAAACAAGACUCAGGCAAGUACAGCUGUGUGUACAGCAAAUGUAAACACCCAAUCAGUCAAGUGAAGUCAACAGGGGAUUAUCUGGUCUUAUGGGUCAACAGAGAUGAAGAUGUGGAAGGUAAGAUCAUGUCAGUAUUGUGUAAUGUGUAUGUUUAGUGUAUUUUUAAUGCUUAAAUACAUGGAUUGCUACACUGUAUAUUGCAACAGUGCAGUUUAUAGUCUUGUCAAUAAUACAGGUUUUACAUAAUUGUAAUUCAUCAUUAACAUGUUUACAUUUGAAAGCUAUGGACAGUGCUUGACUUGGAUUUCAUUAUGGGCUGGAGCUUUCUUUUUCCAAGUUGGUUCAUGAGUCACAGGAGUAAACUGAUGAGUCACAGGAUCUGAUGAGUCACAGAAGUAAACAAUAUUGACUGAAGGUUAAUUGAACUGAACAUAGAACUGUGACAACAUAAAACAAUUGAGAAAGGAAAAAUCUGAACAAUUGCCAAAACCUCACCGACUAUUGUAUAAAUGUUAAGCUACUGUAGAAAACACAUAUCAGGCAUAUGAAUGCCUGAAAUAAUGUACCCAAUCUACAUAUAACUAAUGUUAAGGUAACAAUUUCUAUAAGCAGUUUGUGAAUUUUCAAAGUGAGGUAUAUUUGAUGUAAAGUCCUUCGCAUGCCAGCCCAGCAGGACUUCUCCCAGAGCAGGUUGUGCCCAGGUCACCAACCGGCCCCACAGUCUUCGGAGCACGUAGGUCUUGUCUGGGGGCAUGGCGGUAGUAUGGGGUCCCAUCUCCCUGCUCGACGACUGUUCUCGUCAAUGUCCCAGGAGACAGGACCCACAGAGCGGGCAGGAUUGGCAUGUCCAUUGGCAGUUCUGCCCUCGGUCAAGAAGGCAGGAUAGUGCGUCCGCCCUGACAUUCUUCAUAACUGGUCGGUAUGUCAGAGUGAACUGGAAGCGAUCGAAGAACAGGGACCAUCUGGGCUGGCGGACGUUGAGGCACCGCGCAGCCCUGACUUGUUCUAGGUUCUGGUGGUCUGUCAGAACAGCUCCCGGGCGCCCACCAGCCAGUGUCUCAACACCUCCAGUGCCAACUUCACCGCAGCUCACGGUCACCCACGUUGCAGCAGUUAGCUUCUGGGAGAAGUAAGUAGAGGAUGGAGCUGGGGAGGGGUCCUGUGCUGCUGGGAGAGGACUGCCCC